rnacentral:rRNA from 1 species
CCUACGGGUGGCAGCAGUAGGGAAUAUUGCUCAAUGGUGGAAACCCUGAAGCAGCAACGCCGCGUGGAGGAUGAAGGUUUUCGGUAUGUAAAAUCCUUUUGUUCAAGAAGAUAAGGACGGUAUCUAACGCAUAAUCACCGGCUCACUCUGUGCCAGCAGCCGCGGUAACACGGGGGGUGCAGGCGUUACUCGGAAUCACUGGGCGUAAAGCGGGCGUAGGCGGGGUAGCAAGUAAGCUGUGAAUCCCUAGGGGUUAAACAUAGAACUGCAGUUGAAACUGUUAUUCUAGAGUAUGAGAGAGGUAGGCGGAAUGCGUGGUGUAGGGGUAAAAUGCGUAGAGAUCAAGAGGAAUACUCAUUGCGAAGGCGACCUGCUGGAUCAAAACUGACGCUGAGGCGCGAAAGCGUGGGGAGCGAACAGGAUUAGAUACCCUAGUAGUC